GGCCGCGGGAAUUCGAUUCAGGCCUAACACAUGCAAGUCGAACGAUGAUAAAAAAAUUGCAGGGUGGAUUAGUGGCGAACGGGUGAGUAACACGUGGGUGAUCUGCCCUGCACUGCGGGAUGAGCCUGGGAAACUGGGUCUAAUACCGGAUAUGAGCGUCCUUGAGUGGGGGGGGUGGAAAGCUUUUGCGGUGUGGGAUGAGCCUGCGGCCUAUCAGCUUGUUGGUGGGGUAAUGGCCUACCAAGGCGUCGACGGGUAGCCGGCCUGAGAGGGUGAUGGGCCACAUUGGGACUGAGACACGGCCCAGACUCCUACGGGAGGCAGCAGUG
rnacentral:rRNA from 1 species